GCGACCUCAGGUCAGGCGGGGCUACCCGCUGAGUUAAGCA
rnacentral:rRNA from 2 species